UACGUAGGGUGCAAGCGUUGUCCGGAAUUAUUGGGCGUAAAGAGCUCGUAGGCGGUCUGUCACGUCGGCUGUGAAAUCCCGAGGCUCAACCUCGGGCCUGCAGUGGGUACGGGCAGACUAGAGUGCGGUAGGGGAGAAUGGAAUUCCUGGUGUAGCGGUGGAAUGCGCAGAUAUCAGGAGGAACACCGAUGGCGAAGGCAGUUCUCUGGGCCGUAACUGACGCUGAGGAGCGAAAGCGUGGGGAGCGAACAGG
rnacentral:rRNA from 1 species